UACAUGGGGUGCAAACGUUGCUCGGAAUUACUGGGCGUAAAGUGUGCGCAGGCGGCCGAGCAUGUCGAGUGUGAAAGCCCCGGGCUCAACCUGGGAACUGCAUUCGAUACUGGACGGCUAGAGUAUGAGAGAGGGAGGUAGAAUUCCACGUGUAGCGGUGAAAUGCGUAGAUAUGUGGAGGAAUACCGGUGGCGAAGGCGGCCUCCUGGUUCAAUACUGACGCUGAGGUGCGAAAGCGUGGGGAGCAAACAGG
rnacentral:rRNA from 1 species